CCGCAGGACAGUCAUGGCCAGAUUCUCUCUCGCCUUCGGGAUGCUCGUGGUGGCACUGAUGGCGUCUGCCGAGGCCAGGAGCCCCGUCCCCCCCGGCUAUCAGUGUGGCUUCGUCAUCUGCCCCGCCAUAUACGCCCCUGUCUGCGGCAGGGACUGAAAGACGUACUCCAAUCGGUGCAACCUAGAGGCGGCCAAGUGCAGGAACCCGCGCCUGAGACUCGUGAGGCCGGGAAAGUGCUAGGACCACCGGAACAGAAGCUUCGUUCACGUUGAUUCCUCCUCCAGUCUUCUCUGACACCCUCCCCCUGCUUCCCCCCUCUGCCCCCCCCCCCCUUCCACCUACCUCCAGCUGGACGUCAACGUUGCUACGGCCUUCAGUGAUCACUACGCCAUCGACCAAAGAAGAAGUAUAACCGAAAAAAAGAAAUCAAAAUUGGUUCCUAAUCCGUAAUUUAAAGAUUAUAUAAGAAUUUGUGUGAUAUGCCUUACUAUGAGUAAUGUUUUUUUUUCCGAAUUAAACCAAUUGCAUUUUGUUUUUUUCCCUAAA